rfam:Populus trichocarpa isolate Nisqually-1 chromosome 15, whole genome shotgun sequence.
UAAUUUGUUUAAGGCAGAUUCUCAUCUAGUUAUGAUAGACUCAAACUCGGCUGCUUAAAAUUACCUGUUAUCACAAGUCUGACUACAUCAUAGACACUCAUAAAACAUAUUUAGAAGAAAAAAUUCAUAAAAUUAUGGU